CCAACAGGGAUUCCCUUAGUAAGUGCGACUGAACCGGGAUGAGCCCAGCGCAUAAUCUCACGAUUUCCAUUAACGUGGCGUGAGAGGUGUUGCGUUUCAGAGAGAUCUAGCAUCGCGUUCCAUGCCGUCUAAGUUGAUAAACUUGAAGAAAGCGGACCAACUCCCGUGGAGGGUGAUAGUCCCGUAUGACGGUUAUCUCCCGUAAGGGUAGUUUGGAACGCGAGAAAGGGUCUCUCUGUAGAGUCGGGUUGCUUGAGAAUGCAACCUAAAGAGGUGGUAAACUCCAUCUAAGGCUAAAUAUGACCACGAGA
rnacentral:rRNA from 1 species